UGGGGAAUAUUGCACAAUGGGCGCAAGCCUGAUGCAGCCAUGCCGCGUGUGUGAAGAAGGCCUUCGGGUUGUAAAGCACUUUCAGCGAGGAGGAAGGUGGUGAGCUUAAUACGCUCAUCAAUUGACGUUACUCGCAGAAGAAGCACCGGCUAACUCCGUUCCAGCAGCCGCGGUAAUACGGAGGGUGCAAGCGUUAAUCGGAAUUACUGGGCGUAAAGCGCACGCAGGCGGUUUGUUAAGUCAGAUGUGAAAUCCCCGGGCUCAACCUGGGAACUGCAUUUGAAACUGGCAAGCUAGAGUCUCGUAGAGGGGGGUAGAAUUCCAGGUGUAGCGGUGAAAUGCGUAGAGAUCUGGAGGAAUACCGGUGGCGAAGGCGGCCCCCCUGGACGAAGACUGACGCUCAGGUGCGAAAGCGUGGGGCAGCAAACAGGAUUAGAUACCCUGGUAGUCCAGCGCUGUAAACGAUGUCGAUUUGGAGGUUGUGCCCUUGAGGCGUGGCUUCCGGAGCUAACGCGUUAAAUCGACCGCCUGGGGAGUACGGCCGCAAGGUU
rnacentral:rRNA from 1 species